UUAGGGGAGGCAGCAGUGGGGAAUAUUGCACAAUGAGCGCAAGCCUGAUGCAGCCAUGCCGCGUGUAUGAAGAAGGCCUUCGGGUUGUAAAGUACUUUCAGCGGGGAGGAAGGUGUUGUGGUUAAUAACCGCAGCAAUUGACGUUACCCGCAGAAGAAGCACCGGCUAACUCCGUGCCAGCAGCCGCGGUAA
rnacentral:rRNA from 1 species